AUGAAGCAAACACAAGCAGGAAUCAGCAAGAGUCAGAACAGAACCAGCGCCAGGAAUCAUAGAGUUGAGCAAAUUCUCACCUGGAGCUUCUCUUCGAGGAAACCGAGGAUGGUGCCCGGGAUGAUGCCGCGUACGCCCCCGCCGUCGAUGCUCAGGACGGUGACGAUGCUUCCAUACGACGGCGUCGGGGUUCGUGGCGUCGGGAGCAGGCGGCUGGACUCCCGGGGCUCCACCGCCGCCAGGUUGACGGUGAGUGACUUGAGACUCUUCAACUUGGGACACGGCAUUGCUACUGGAUCAGUGGAGGUGGAAAUGGGGAACAGGGGAGAGCAGAACUUCAGAACGGGAACAGAGAAAGAGAGAGAGAGAGAUGUUGCUUGUGAAUUGGAUGUGAUGUGUGCGCCUAUAUAUAAGGUAGGGUGCGCAAUCGCCGGGCUGAAAUUGGACUGGAGACCGCGCGUCUAUUUGGCAAGGCUGGAAACUGAUUUGGGGUAG
rnacentral:rRNA from 1 species